CUCAGUCUGAAGAGAACUGCAGGAACAAACACAGAGCUGUACUCAUAACCUAUCUCAGAUGUGAGACAGGAUCUUGAGCAAACGUACCCUGUUCUUCUUUAUGGGUCACUAGGAAGAAUGAUUGACUGAAACUGAGAAAAAUCCCACUUCUGUAAGGCAAGCUAGAGGAAUUAUGACUUUGGGUAAUCUGAAAGACCACUGUGGGAUGAAAUUUGGCUGGAAAUAACUUCAUAUGCUUUCAUAUACUUUUCUUUACAUAUUGAAGUAAUUUUGUUAAAACCACCUAAACUAUUAUACGUUGAAGAACAUCUUCAAAACCUGAUAAGUUCAAGACUUCAAAUCUGGCAAUCAAGCACAUGAGGAAUAAGAAAAUAAAAAUAAAAAGGCUCCUCACAAUUGUUGAUGAGAUGAAUCUUCCAGGGUUUGAUCCCUUGGCAAAGACAUUUUGGAAUCCAUGUCAAAAUCAAAAUUGCCUUCUCAAAUUGCUACUGGUUUAGAAGACUCUUCCAAAUUUUUCUAAUGAGAAUGGAAAUAGCAACCAUACCUCUCAGGUUAUUUUCUUUGGUGAAAUGAAGCAAAUAUUUUCAGUUAAAUGUUUUUGUCACAGAAAAAGAGACUUUGGACCAAAACAGAGAAUUUGCUGUGUUUUGACAGUAGGUUUACCUGGUGAAAACUGGUGUCAGAAGUUCCUCACUUUCCACUCUUGGAUUGAGGUCAUCAUCCUCCAGACUGCUUUACCAAUAGUGAACUUUCUUCUCAGUUCUGACCUGUGCAUUCACGGCACUUGGACCGAGUAUAAGUAGUGCUGUCACCAAAUCCCUGUGCUGUUGUUACUCUUACAUCUGGCGGCUACUGUAGCCAAUAUACUUCAGUUACUUUUAGGUACUUACCUGAGCAACUUAGUAUCUCUGUGAGGGUUGCCCCACUGUGGGACAACUGCAAUUGUAUCUCACAGAGCUGUCACAGAUCUUAAUUACAUGUUCUUCAAAGUGCUCGGAGGUUCCCUGAUAAAAGUGAUUUCAGUACGCAAAACACUGCAGCAAAACAAACUAAUCUAGAUGUCAGAGGUCAGCCCUGUCUGCCUACAUUAACCUAAUAGCCUGUGCUUUUCCUCUUUCCUUCAUCAUUUGCCAGAACAGAUAGGGUUUGUUUUUCCUUUGAUCCCAUGGAGUUGACAGCGAAAGAUGAUUCUCAGUUUGUCAUCUUGAACCUUCCCACUUUCCUGGUGAUGUGACCCAUGACAUGAGGAAGAUCUGUAAUCAUGGACAGAUGCCUUUCUGAGGAAGGUCCAGAUACCGCAGAAGAGGUGGGAGAGGACCACACAGAAACCUGUGACUCCCGAGAGCAGCAGCUGGGCCCUGGAGGCGUAUAGUGAGAAAUAACUGUGUCAGGAGCAAGGAUUUUUCAAAAGCUAUGUGUUAGAAUUUUCACAAGGUAGCUCACUACUCUAAAGAGUCUUAUUUUCUCAACAGGGUAAGUGUUUCAGGCCAUUUUAAAUAUACUUUUGAAAUAAGACACUGUUUUCAAUGGUGCUGUCCCUGUGUAACAUGAACUCUGUUUCUGUGAUAUUUUCAUAUCACUCUGUGCUACUGGGAAUGGUGAUAUUUCUGUGCUCAAUCUUCAAAAAAUUAGAAAACUGCUGAAAAUGGGUUUUGUCAAUGAAGAAUAGGAGGACCCACUCAGGAUCCAGCAAUGGGUUGUAUGUUCAUUAGAGGUACCAAGUACAUAAACAAGACUAAGGGUAAAAAAAGACUCAACAACUGUUGAAAUCAUUCAGCCCUGUUAUUCUUCACAUCUCAAAGCUCUUAGCAUACUUUACAGUGGAAUAAAACCAAAUUAUAUCUGAUAGAUACACAGAAGAUGCAACAUCAAAGCAAAUUGAGCAAAUGGGUCUCCUGCCUCACUUCAUUCUCAAAGUAGUGCCAGCUUGAAAAUUAGAGGGGAAUGUUUCAGGAUUUUUCUAAGCUCUUUUUAAAACUUCUGGCUGCGCUUCUGGAUACCAGCCAGCCUCCCUUGGUUAUCUAUCCCACUCCCCAAUAUCCUCAUGAGGAGCAAUUUUCUUCCAAUAUCCAGCCCAAAACUUUCUGAUUAUCUCUUGUCCUCCCAACAUAUACUAUUUUGGAGGACCUGUCUCCAUCUCUUAAAUGGGCCCCUGGUGCAGUGGUCACCCUCAAUUGGUGACAUCUGCAAAUUUCAUGGAAGAGUACUCCAGCAACUCUUCCAGGACACUGAUAAACAUGGUUGGUUUACAGGACAGGUCCCACAUCUACUUGGACUAACAGUCACCAUUGAUACUAGAGGUGAUAUUAAAACAUUGUGUUAUUGGCUUUGAAGAGCAGAAACAAACUCUAAGACCUUGGAGGGACUGGCAGACUAGAGAUCACACAGAAAAAAUCAUAGCAAUGUUCAUGAGAUGUGGAAGUGAUUCUCCUUAGGAGACAGCCCAUUCACUGAGACUCAUUAUACAAAUUUAAUAACUCUUUAACAUAUGCAGCUCUUGAAAUUUAUUGUUUCAGUCAGAUCUUGAUCACUAGCACAUCUGAUUAAAAACAAUGGACUGAAUUUUGGCUUUUUCCAUCAGUUUCAUGUAAGAAAUAAUAACUAAUUAAUAGCAUCAUACUUCUCAAAGAGUCCUCCAAGCACCUUUAGCAAACCUAUGAAUAGAGAAAUUAGGGUUGUUAGAAGCUAAUCAUCUAACUUCUGGUAAAGACUCCUUUGAUAAUGUUAUUGACUUCUUAAGGACAAUGUCAGCAGAGUGUUCUGUGAGACAGGCUUCUCCAGAAACAUUGUCAGCCACAAACAAUACCAAGUUCCUGCACUGGAGCUCAUUGAUGCUAAAGUUUGAAGGCCUUCAGGGCAAGACACAAGGAAGUAUAUUUAACUCAGAAUUGACUGUGCUUUCUCUUGUUUUGCUUUGGUAAACUCAGCCUCUCCCCUCCCCCUCAUACCAAGCUGCUUACAUAGCCACAUGAUCAGUUUCUGUAGUACACUAGUUGUCCAAGCAAGGGUCAUCUUUUAUUGCUCCUAUUUGAACUUUGCAAAUCAGCUAAAGGCUGGGGAUAUUGUAUAAACCACAAGACGGUGUCAGCAAGUUCUAGGUUAAUGCUUUCCUUUAACAAAAUAAUAUAUUUUGUUUUCCACUACUUUCAAAUGUACAGGAAGUAUAAAAAACUUAUACAGGAAAUUGUUUAGAUGGAGGAACUGUCUGACUGUUCUGCAAUGGAAAAACUGCUAAUACUCAAAAAGAACUUGUCUUUCUUGAAGAAAUAUCGUCUUAUUGUACAAGAUCCAGAGUAACCUGUAUUUUGACAAAGGCAUAUAUGCAUAACAAUUCCUGUUCGAAGCUUUCUACAUUUUUACACUUAUUUUGGAAGAACAUUUUGGAAACUUUCCUACUAAAUUCUUAAAGGUUACUCCUAAAACAAGGUACUCAAACAUACCCACAGGGACACCAUUUUCUGUAUCAUCCUAUGAGUGUGUAGCACCUAAUUUAACUCUAUCAUGUCUCUGUGCAGGUGUAGUGACCCAUUCCUAGGAGGAUUGCAUUCCCUCCACGUUGCUGUGUGCCUCUGCACUUCAGCUCUGUUCCAACUGUCAGACAUCCAGAAAUCCCAGCAUCCAGAUAUUGUUGAAAAAAUAUGAAUGUUUCUCAGCUUUUGGGAGAGAGAAUGGAAUUAGAGAUAAGAAAACCUGGAUGACAAAAUACAGCAAACACAGACUGAGUCUUACCAUUCUUGACAAGUAUUGAACCCACACAUCCACCUUUUGAGUAUAUUCAGACAUAUGUGAGUUAACUCAAUAACUUCUAAAAGCUGCAGUUAAGUUCUUUGUAAUAAAAACCAGCCUUUAUAUCUAGUCUUCAGGUGUUUUUUGGUAUUAGAAAAUAAUGCAAUAGAUGAACUUGCUAGAGGAAUAGUAACAAAACUGAAAAUAUAUGCCUAAAUAUUUCCAUCAAGUAACAGCCAGUUCUAACCCACUAUCAAUAUUAUGGUGCUAAUAAAUUGCAUCAUCCUAUUAUUAUUAAAAUGAUAGAUUAAAUCAGUGACUGGCUCUCCUUAAAGAAUACAGCUUUUCAAUGGUCCCACAGAAUAAAGCAACUAAAGCCUCAUCUGUUAAAACUGCAACGACCCAUCCUACCUGCAGGAAAAGGCACGUCCACUCCCCACGUGGAAGAAGUACUUGAGUGACUUUAGAAAACAAACACUUAAAUGCAGCUUCUUAGAAAGCCAGUAUCACUGUGACUGCCUGCCUUGGGGACUUUAUGUUUUCUCUGUCCUAGUGAGGCUUCUCUGUGUAAUUCCUUUUUUCUUUUCCGGUAAGCCAGUGUACACUGACACUUCAAAAGUUAAACCCCUUUCCCUUUCCUUCCACUACUUAAUUUGCUUUUCUGUCACUGCAUGCUGCAUAUGAGAGGUGGAACAGCCUUUUAACUUCAGAGAUAGUCUUGAUAGGAGGCCAUAUGAAAUCAAACAAACUUUCAACAUUUCAAGGGCAGUAAGGUGCCCACAAAACUAGCACCUGGAUCCAAAACUAGAUGGAUGGCCCAGACAGUCCAUCCACAGCCUAACCACAGGUCAGACCAACUCCAAAGUUGCUCAUACUGUCCUCUGGCAUUCACCAAGAAGCCAUAUCUUUCUGCCCAAGGAAUUUCCUUCACAGGGAUUGCCUUUAAAGAGGGAGGGGAAAGUCAGUCUCCUAAAGAAAAUGCACAUGUAUGCCACCUAAUGAAAGAUUUAUCAAAAAAAAAGAGAUAAAUCCAACUUUUGUUGUUGAUAAGCAUGGGGAAAUGGGAAUUGGACUUCUACCUCAUUUCAUAGCAGUCUGAUUUUUCCUAGACUUGAGGAGAAAAAAAAUAAAAGAAAAAAAUUAUCAUAAAUGUUUGUUUUUCUACGUGCAUUCCUUCAGGUGGGGUUCUGCUAAUUCACUCCCUGCCCAUUUAGCUGCCAGUAUAAGUAUACAAAACACUACUUUUUUAGGCUCGUUGCCUGCAGUUGAACAACUGUUUAUUGUUCUUCAUUUCAUAUUGCUGGUGUAAGACAGAGGAUUCAGGUACUUUUGACAAUCAGUAACAUAUAUUACGUUUGUUUUGAAUGCACAUACAAGCUAGAGAAUUGCUUGAAUCAAAAUGAUGGUUAAACAUAAAAAGAACACCCCAGCUCCAAAGCCUUUGCAGUCUCAGACAACAGACAAUGUACAUGACAAUUUAAUACAAUUUUUAGUGUAAGUUGUUUGAUUCAAUCAAUUUAGACUCCAAAUGCGAUUUAGGCUCCGAAGACUUAAACAGGCAACUAAAGGGCAGCCGCUGAGAGCAAGAUGGGCAGAUGAAUCCAUUCACGCGUAAACAAGCAUGGAAAAGCUUGAAGGCCUUCAUGGCAAAGUUUGGGUUCAACAGCUCUUUUAGAUUUUAAGCUAUUACCCUACUUCAGGAUGUGAUUAAAAGUGAAUUGCAGUAAAAAAUCCAAAAAGCCCAAAUGAAAUAAACCUCGUUUCUUUCCCUUUGAUUUCAGCUUUCCUACUUAUGCUUCUGUCUUUUAAACAGAAAUGACUGGGUUUGUAAUAAGAAAAAGUGUGAUUUCCAGCUAUUGAUCCAUUUUCUUGUUAACAGAAUUCUAUGAGACACACAUAAGAACUUGGUCAAGGUAUAAUUUUAAGAAACUAGCACAAAAGAAAAGAAAAAGCUAAUAACCAAGGUAUUGAAUUUUGUAUGUCUAAGGUGUGCAGGUAGAUUCCUUAGGAUGAGCUAUCUGGAGGGACAUCAAAUAGAAAAAUAUUGAUAAAAUUAUAAGGAGUUGUGCCCGUAGUUCUGCCCUAAAUUCUGCUGAGCAGAUGAGGAGCAGAAGUACCUCACACUUUUUUGUUAUUAGUUUUCACUAAAUUGUGCAGGAAAAUAUUUGAUUCAUAUAUGCCUGAAUUUUCCAAUCAGCUAAGCUAUGUGUUGUGCUCUUGCAAAAUAUCUUUUGUACUUACUGACUAGAAAAAGGCAAGCAUUAACUUUUUGCCACAGCACAAAGUGAAAUUCUAUAUAAUCCCCACAUUAUGACUCCUGUUCCCUUUAGUUUAAUCUACAACUCUGGGAAUUUGUUAUACAACAAGAAACACAUUUUAAGAAUUGUCACAUUUUUUAAUUCCUUUUUGUGUUUGAAGCGUCACAAGCAUUGUGGCUCCAGUUCAAGCCAACUGGAGCCUGGAAAAUGAAAUAUAAGCUAAAAAUACCAUAAAAAUGGAAAUUUUUAUCCUUAAUCUUGUGUAAGGUUUUUACAUUCUGCAGUGAAGCUAUCUGAACCUGAAAGAGACUAUGACUGAAAAUUGAGGAGUUUUGCAGCAAUCCUCUCAUCCACACUGGUUGAACCCAUGAGUCCUGCUCAUGAAAGGAUCUUUGCAAGGAGACCUUGCUCCAUCCAGGGACCUACAAAAGCCUGCAGAAGCUUUCAUGAUAGGAUGGCUCUGUAUUGAAGGAUGGUGGGUUAAGUGGCACCGAAGAGGAUGAGGACAAGAAUGGCUCAGUAGAUAAAUGCAACUGUUUAAAAUAUGGGCAAUCUGUGUUGUAGUUUCUCUUCUGCUGUUGGUUUCUGGUGAAGCCCUGGGCGUAUCUCUUACUCAUGGUGGUUGACCAUAUAAUGGGGAGAACAGCCUCAAGGAGAAUGGCAGCAAGGACAUUUGCAAAAAAAAGGAAGGAAGGAUGUGGGAUAAGACUAUCCCAUACCAGAUAACACGGUUUCCAGGGAGGGUUGACAUGAUCAAUGCUAUGCUUCUAUGUAUAUCCAUCAGGAAAACUAGACACCUCCAGCCUCUUCAGGACCUCCAUGAGCUUCUGGGAAGACGAGAUCUGGCAGAACAUGCUUUCUUGUACCUGCAUGCCAGUGACAAGUAUGAGAAGUGGAAGAACCAUCUCUCCCUCUGCUUUCAAUUAUGAAAAUUCUGUAAUUUACUCAGGUUGCAUGUCAGGGCUGAAUAGUGGCCUAGAAAGUUUGCAAAUAUGUAUUAAUAAAUAAUCAUGAUGCCAAAAUAAUUGUAUUUGUAACACAUCUAAUGCUCUUAAGCAUUGCUGUGGGUGAACCUGAAAGACAGAAGUAGUAUUUUUAUGCUAAUGCACUAUAAAAUGUCUUAGCAAAAUAAGCAAGUCCCUCUGCAGUGAGUGUUUAUUUUCCUUGAUACAGUUUAGUCGAUUCUCAUGUGACAGUCUUUUGUGUUGUAUUUGUAAAAUGAUCUCUAUGAGAAUAGCACUAUUAUAAUAUAUUACAAUCUGAAGGUGUUUGAGCAGCAGAAAGCUGCUAUUACAGUGCUUCACAAUGGAGCAUUUAAACAGUUUAGAGAGCAGCUUUCAUGUACAGUGCUUUAAAGAACUGCUACAAGCCAUGUUUGCACUGCUUUUGGAAAAGCAGGGUAAUACUCAGGGGACAAUUCCUUACCAGUGAGCUUCCUGUCACUGAGCGUUCAUGUUGCUGUUCCAGCAAAUCCAGGUGGGAACCAUUUCAAGGAAAUUUUGAAUACUUCUCCUUUUGCCCAGAAACAGCUUAGCUAUUUUUAGGGAUUUUUCCAUUGGCCUGAAGCGCAUUUCAGUUGCUUAGCUUGAUGGAGAGUGGCAUAUUGUAUGUUGUGUUGAAUUGAGAAAAUGACUAUGUUGCAUCAUGUCUGCAUUUGGCACUGAAGGAUGCUAAGAUGCUCAUAUUUCCUCAUACUUGUGCCAAUUUAUAUGCAACACAGAUAUACCAUAAAUAAAAUGUAGGGUACUGGAUCCAUCCUGCACUCAUUUAGCCUUGUGACACCUUGAUGGCAUUUGACUUCUUUGUGGAAGACUGGAAUCAGUCACAGUGUGCCCCAGUCAUAGGGUACUUAAAAAUAAGGUGCUGUUGCUGUGCAAAGACUUGCUAUAGUAAUGCAUCCUUUUCUUAAUGGAAAAUGUCAGAAAUGCACCCUGGAGUCCUCAUGGGGUUUAGACUAUCAGGAGAAACAGAUUGUCCAGUGGGGAGAUACAGUUCCAUGUUCAGGAAGUGCCUUUGCCCCGAAGAGCACCACAACUGUGUGGGGAGAUCUGCACCCAUUUCCCUUCAUUCUCACCACACACUGCCGGGAUGUGAUCAGAUUCAGUUGCUUCUAUUAAUCUCAAGACUAGAUGGCAGAUGAGCUGCAUGGCUAGGCCAAAAUGGGUUCCAGGGAAUCAGCUGCAAAAUUUCUUUUUGCUGUUUUCCUCCUCAAUUCUUGUAUCACAUUUGGGGAGAAAAAUAAAGCUCUUAGGCACUCUGUUUUAAUCUAUAUAACUAGUGCAAUUAGUGUAACAGUAAGUCAGCUUUAUAUCAUUGACUGAAAUGUGGAUGAUUAAACAAUUUUCUUUGGAGACACAGAAAUUGCAGUGAUUUUCCAGAAUGAAAUUGCAAUGAUUUUCCAGAUCUGGUGUGUGAGGAAGAGGACUCUGCACUUGAUAGUAAUCUAUCUUGCACUGCUUGAUGCAAACCACCAGGCUGAGUUUGCACAGGGAUUGCAUCAUUAUUAACCCUCACAAUUGACAGUGAUGGAGUAACAGGAGCAUCACAAGCUAAUUUUGUAACUCUGCCACUAGAAACAGGAGAUUCUAGUUUUUGAGUCUGCAAUUAUUUUCAACCUUUUGGUACGUACGUCUUUAUUCCCUCAGAAAAUGUCGCGUCUUUUAUGUAAAUAUCUCAGCAAUAACCAAGAAAAGAUCUUCUGAUCUAAAUUGGAAAGAUCAGCCACAGUCUGCUCGGCAAGCUGAAUGGCAUAUUGAAGUCACUCUUGAUUUAGUUAUUUUAGGAGAUCAGUCCCUAUCACAGUUGUUCUCUUUAGCCCUUCACAAUGAGUUGAGGAUGCACUUUGGUUUCGUAUGUUACUUAGCUGAAAUAGCAAAUAAAAAGACUUCCUAAAGCUCUUCUAAACUAUUUUUCAAGUGAAUGAGUUCAUUUAGGCUGUUGAAAGAUAACAUUUUAAAUGACUCUUAGAAACAGGUUUUCUGUGACAAGUUGAGGCCCUGUCCAUAGAAAGUUCCAUGAAUGGCAGUGAGGACUUUGCCUUCAAUCCAGGAUAGGAUUUGAGUCAGGAUGAAAGAUGAAAUAUCAGUGUAUUGAUAUUUAAUCCUGUACUUUCAGCUGGUAGUGAAUCAAGUAGCAGCUCUUCAGGAGUCAUCCUUUCCUCCAUGGAAUGAAGCUGCGAUCGGUAUUUCAUACCCUCACACGGUUCCCAUCACUUUCUGAUGUGUAAUCUGAUACUGUAUAUAUCUUAAAAAAAUGAAGACACAAACCACGUUUUUCUUUUUAUUUCCUAUCUGUUCAAAUGCAGGCUGUAACAUGCAGUGUUAUCACUGCUCAUAACUAUGACACUUAAUUACAUUUCAUGAGUUGAAUUUGGGAUUUGAAUGUCACUCAAGUAGUUCUUGCACACUUUAUGAUGUAUAUUUAAUCCAGAAAACCUGAAGAAAACAGAUCAUUUAAUUUUCUAAUCGGUUUACCAGAUACAGGCUGUGAGGCAUGGAAAUAUUUUGAGCAUUUUCUAUGUUUUUUAAUGAAGUGUUACUACAAUGAGAGGCGGAUGUUACAGCCCAGCUGUUGCCAUACACAGCAGUGGCUGCUGUGCUCUGUGCAGAGCAUCACGUGCUGGCUCUCAGUGAAGCUUCAGGACUCCAGCCAAGGAUGGCUGGCAGCAAGUUGGAGACUGUGAUGGUUUUCCUGUUCUGUAUUUUUUUUUUCCCUCUGCAGUGGACAAAUACCUCAAAAAUUUUGGAAUUAAAAUUAUUCAAGAGGAUGAAAUAUUUCUAGAGGAUGAAAAAAUGGAGACUGGAUGCUUUCUCCUUCUGCCUUUGCAGAUGUAUAGGCUGUGGGUUUGUGUCCCACAGGAGCUCUACGAGUAAAGGAGACCCGCUGGAGUCUGUCUCCAACAGGGUGUUUUCUUCUUGUGUUGUUACCUCCUCCCUGCAAGUUAAUCUUCUCCACUGAUGAUAUUUUGUGGAGACACAAGAUUCAUGGGUUCCAUGAGGAUGCAGACCAAGUUCUUCCUUUCAGUGUGGAGCAUCUGAAGUUAUGGGGAACAUGCUAUCAACAGUAAAACAAAUGUGCAUCAGAUCCCUGGGGGACUUGUUUGGAGGGAACGCUGCACACAUGGCAUCCAUCUGAGAACCAGAAGUAUUGUUAUUCAAGUGUUUCUGAAGCAAAGGAAACAAUAUGAUGCAUCCAUAAAUCCUUCCUCAUGAGCAUGUGAAACUGUAGUACUCAGACAUUAUGUCUGAAUGGUAGAGUAGUACUCAGACAUUAUGUCUGAAUGGUAGAAGAAACUGGAGUAUUGGGGUCUUCACUUCCCAGGUAAUCAUUGUAAAUGGAAAAUCACACAUUUUCUCGCUGAAAGAAAUGUAUAUGUAUUGGUGUUUUAUUUACUCAACUGUUUUUUCCCCCAAUAAUGAAGUUACUAUUAGAAGAAUUCUGUGUGGCUGCAGAAACUUGAAAGUAAAAUAAGAGCUCUAUCAAUCAGGGCCAUAUACACAUAUUAUUUUUUUAGGAGCAAGGUACUUUUAAAGAGCUGCUACCAUCUGAAUUGAAAACAGAGUAGAGUCUGUAGGAUGACAGUAUCCCAAGGUCUCUUAGACCUGGAGCCAGCUAGUAGGCAACAGGAGAGAUUAGAAAUCAAUUUUGUUUGGAAGGAAUUAUUUCAAAGUGAUUUGAUAAAACAGAGACGAGUGUUAUAAAAUAGCUGAGGUAAAUGCUUUUAUCUUGGGAGAGAAGAUUCAUCUUUUGUUUGAGUGGCAAUGGCUCAAUACUUCAUGCUUAGCUCCUAUUAUGAUUAUAUGCAUUUAAAUUCAGAUAAUGUACAGCAGUUGAAAAAAUAAAGAUAAGUGAAAACAAGGAA